rnacentral:rRNA from 1 species
GGGAAUUGGGGGCGGCUACACAUGCAGUCGAGCGGAAGAAGGGAGCUUGCUCCCUGAUUUAGCGGCGGACGGGUGAGUAAUGCCUAGGAAUCUGCCUGGUAGUGGGGGAUAACGUUCCGAAAGGAACGCUAAUACCGCAUACGUCCUACGGGAGAAAGCAGGGGACCCUCGGGCCUUGCGCUAUCAGAUGAGUCUAGGUCGGAUUAGCUAGUUGGUGAGGUAAUGGCUCACCAAGGCGACGAUCCGUAACUGGUCUGAGAGGAUGAUCAGUCACACUGGAACUGAGACACGGUCCAGACUCCUACGGGAGGCAGCAGUGGGGAAUAUUGGACAAUGGGCGAAAGCCUGAUCCAGCCAUGCCGCGUGUGUGAAGAAGGUCUUCGGAUUGUAAAGCACUUUAAGUUGGGAGGAAGGGCAGUAAGCUAAUACCUUGCUGUUUUGACGUUACCGACAGAAUAAGCACCGGCUAACUUCGUGCCAGCAGCCGCGGUAAUACGAAGGGUGCAAGCGUUAAUCGGAAUUACUGGGCGUAAAGCGCGCGUAGGUGGUUCGUUAAGUUGGAUGUGAAAGCCCCGGGCUCAACCUGGGAACUGCAUCCAAAACUGGCGAGCUAGAGUACGGUAGAGGGUGGUGGAAUUUCCUGUGUAGCGGUGAAAUGCGUAGGUAUAGGAAGGAACACCAGUGGCGAAGGCGACCACCUGGACUGAUACUGACACUGAGGUGCGAAAGCGUGGGGAGCAAACAGGAUUAGAUACCCUGGUAGUCCACGCCGUAAACGAUGUCAACUAGCCGUUGGGUUCCUUGAGAACUUAGCGGCGCAGCUAACGCAUUAAGUUGACCGCCUGGGGAGUACGGCCGCAAGGUUAAAACUCAAAUGAAUUGACGGGGCCCGCACAAGCGGUGGAGCAUGUGUUUAUUCGAAGCAACGCGAGACCUUACCUGGCCUUGACAUGCUGAGAACUUUCCAGAGAUGGAUUGGUGCCUUCGGGAACUCAGAACACAAGGGGCUGCA